rnacentral:lncRNA from 1 species
ACAAAAUUAACUAACUGCAUUUCAAUCACAAAAUGGAUAAAAACAAUGUAACUGUAAGUCACAUUUACAUUAAUGGGACGGAAACAACAACUAGAAUCGCUUGCAACCAUAUCAUAUGGCCAAGUCACGGUAAGAACAAAGAGUAGUUGAUAUCUAGUCCAAAAUCAUAAUGUUUUGAGCUGAACCAAAAGACUUGUUCCCUAUGCCAAUCUCCGCAAGCGAGUGAACACCAAAUUAUCUGCAAAAGUGAAAGUACAUGUUGAGUUACAUGAACCGAAGGAAGAUGCCAAUUGUGUAUGAAUAUAGAUGAUAAAUGACAAUAAGAUUGACAUGCUAUCAUUUUUAGGAGCGAAUCUAGAUCUUCGGCAAAACUCAAUUUUUUUUAAUAAUGUUCACUUGCUCUAUAUUAACAUUCUACACGACACGAAACUAACAAAGCUAAAUACAUCCAAUUUGGCCAUAAUACUUGCAAAUUUUGAUUCCAAUUAUAGCAUAAUAUUUCUUUUGCCUACAGAUAAUCAUCUCAAGUACGUAAAACUGAAUGUACGGGCAUGUGGGAUGUUUGACUAACAAAGCAUACAACAAUUCUCUAAAUAUCAGCUAAGAUUUUGCUUUAUUACACAUUAAAGAAUAGCAUAUGUUACGUGCUUGAAGAUAAGUGGGCCACAGAAUCGGUGGCAAAUAAGGACACCACUUAAUAAAGACACAUACAAGUUUAAGCAUUAAUUAAACAUGUUGGUUCAAAACUGCAUAAUCAAGAUAUAUUAAUGCAAAUGAUGGAUAGAAAGCUCACCUGAAUGACAGGCAUUGUUCUUCCUGUCCAUCAGCACUGCGUAUUCAAAUAUUAUAGAAAUCCAUGAGACUACAAGAAUGCAAAUGAGCGUAAAGUUGAAGAGCGUCCCAAUACAUGAAACUACCCAUGGAGCCAAUAUAACCUUCUGCACCAAGAAGACAAUGAAACAAAAGUAGAAUAUACAUAAGAUAGAGAGAAGCGUGUUCAUGUGCGUGUGUGAAACCAGAACAUGCACAAAGAAGUUAUAGGUGGGCGAGAGAGAUAUCUAUAUGAAAUCUAUCCUAUCUCUCUUGAUGGAAGUUUCAUGAGAAACAACCAGCACCUUGUUUAUUCAUUCAAGAGCCUCAUCUGCAGCUUUCUCAGCAAUCACAUCUGUGACCUCUAGAUUAGGAGGUGGUGGAAGAUGGUUGCAAACAACAUUACUUGUUAUUGCAACUUUGCAUAAUGAAGUACAGAACAAUGGGACGCACUAAUUCAGUGAGGUGGACUGAGUAAAAUAAUAUAAGUUAUCCCCAUUAAGUUAAAAGAAACUCACACGGUGACCAAGUGCAACAAGCUCCUGGAGCUCUUUAUGGAUACAGUCCAUACUGAAAGAAAAUAUGGAGCACUUAAUACAAUUAACUACAGAAGCACAGUUGAAUCAUUUUACAAGAGCCCACAAAGCAUAUUUACAGGCUAUGAAGAAAAAUGACUUGCUAGCAAAAGAAAUAUCAAACUGCUACGAAAAUUUAACUGUAACUAUAGAAACAACUUUAGUAUUUACUUUGUGGAGAAGGGAACAUGUAGGUCCAUGAUAGCUAAUGUAGUAGACAAAUGUAAAUGAGCAAACCCUCUACAUAGUGAAGGGGUAAAUUAAACCUUGAAUGCUCUCUAACAUCUCAUAGAUACUAUGUUCAAACUACAGCCAAAUUCCAGACUCCAUAGUGCUCAGACCCAAGUUUUGCAAAACCUCUGACGUUUACGGAAUUCUACAAUGUGGCAAAUGUACUGAAGGACUUAGUUUGAACAAUCCACCAAACAAUUCAGCAGUACGAUACCCUAGUCGAAGUGAUACAACAUUUGUAUGAACACAUUAGCCAAUUACUAUCUUGAAAUCACAUAGAAAAUAAUUAUAAUCUGCAAUCAUCCAAAGUAAAAAGUAGUCAAGAAACCUAUUUAGAACAGGUAAAGCCAUCACAUGAAUCACCUGCAGAGAAGGCAAGUCACUGCUGCGAUCUGGAGAGGAAGGUGGUCCGUGCUUGGGGGUCAGUUUGCUGCUCCACGGAGGUGCCACCGUCAGAGUCGUUGCCGGUCGUGGGAGCCCGUAGUCAGGUCGCCGGCCAGGCACCUCUUGCUCGGGAUGUCGGAGACGCAGACUGGCCGGCGGAGAUGAGGCCGUGGAUGUGGCGUCGCUGUCACCAGAUCCGGUGCCGUUGGCAGCGGACAUGGGCUCCAAGAAUGCCAUAGGGGGUAGCUAGGGCGUUGGACGAUUGGGAGCUCGAGCACUUGGGAUGGGCGGACGGCGCUGCCGCGGCGUGCAGGGCGGGUUAGCAGCGAAUCGACGCGGUGGGCAGCUGGGGCAGGGAGCUAGCGGUGGCGGCCGGGCAAACAACGGCAGCUACUCAUUGUCGUGGGGGUGGCGGCUGGGAUCUGGGAGUGGAGAGGAGAUCGGGAGAUGGGGAAUUAGGU